UACGGAGGAUGCGAGCGUUAUCCGGAUUUAUUGGGUUUAAAGGGUGCGUAGGCGGUCCGGAAAGUCAGCGGUAAAAGCCCGGGGCUCAACCCCGGCGAGCCGUUGAAACUGUCGGACUAGAGACGGCGAGAAGUACGCGGAAUGCGCGGUGUAGCGGUGAAAUGCAUAGAUAUCGCGCAGAACUCCGAUUGCGAAGGCAGCGUACCGGCGCCGGACUGACGCUGAGGCACGAAAGCGUGGGUACCGAACAGG
rnacentral:rRNA from 1 species